CAACAGGGAUUGCCUUAGUAGCGGCGAGUGAAGCGGCAAAAGCUCAAAUUUGAAAUCUGGUACUUUCAGUAUCCGAGUUGUAAUUUGUAGAAGCAACUUUGGUGAUGGUCUUUGCAUAAGUUCCUUGGAAUAGGACGUCAUAGAGGGUGAGAAUCCCGUUUAUGGUGAAGAACCCACACUAUGUAAAGUGCUUUCGAAGAGUCGAGUUGUUUGGGAAUGCAGCUCAAAGUGGGUGGUAAAUUCCAUCUAAAGCUAAAUAUUGGCGAGAGACCGAUAGCGAACAAGUACUGUGAAGGAAAGAUGAAAAGAACUUUGAAAAGAGAGUGAAAAAGUACGUGAAAUUGUUGAAAGGGAAGGGAUCUAAAUCAGACAUGGUAUUUUGUGAUCAACAGUCUUUCGGGACUGUGCACUCGCAUUUUACUAGGCCAGCAUCGGUUAGAAGGGGGUAAAAAAGAUUUUGGAAUGUGGCUCUUCGGAGUGUUAUAGCCAAGGUUAAUUGCCCCAUUUCUGACCGAGGACCGCGUC
rnacentral:rRNA from 1 species